rnacentral:rRNA from 1 species
AACUACAAGGAUUCCCCUAGUAACGGCGAGUGAAGCGGGAAAAGCUCAAAUUUGUAAUCUGGCACCUUCGGUGUCCGAGUUGUAAUCUCGAGAAGUAUUUUCCGCGUUGGACCGCACAUAAGUCUGUUGGAAUACAGCGUCAUAGUGGUGAGAACCCCGUAUAUGGUGCGGAUGCUCAAUGCUUUGUGAUAUACUUUCGAAGAGUCGAGUUGUUUGGGAAUGCAGCUCAAAUUGGGUGGUAAAUUCCAUCUAAAGCUAAAUAUUGGCGAGAGACCGAUAGCGAACAAGUACCGUGAGGGAAAGAUGAAAAGCACUUUGGAAAGAGAGUUAACAGUACGUGAAAUUGUUGGAAGGGAAACGCUUGAAGUCAGACUUGCAUUUUGGAGUUCAGCCGCAAGGUGUAUUCUUCGAUUCGCAGGCCAGCAUCAGUUUUCGGGGGUGGAAAAGCGCGGUUUGAAGGUAGCAGUCUCGGCUGUGUUAUAGCUUUCCGCUGGAUUCACUUUUGGGGACUGAGGAACGCAGUACGCUUUUUGCAAGACUUUCGAGUUUUUCGUACUUAGGAUGCUGGUGGAAUGGCUUUAAACGAC